rnacentral:rRNA from 1 species
UCAAAGAGUGCGUAACAGCUCACUGGUCGAGUGGACAUGCGCCGACAAUACACGGGGCUAAGCUGGACACCGAAGCGGCGGGAUUUUGAUUUUCAGAAUCGGUAGGGGAGCUUCCCAUGGGCGGAGAAGCCGGAGGGCGACCGACGGUGGAGCGCAUGGGAGUGAGAAUGCUGGCAUGAGUAGCGAGAGACGAGAGAGUAACUCGUCCGCCGUGAACCCGAGGUUUCCUGGGCAAGGCUAAUCCUCCCAGGGUCAGUCGGGGGCUAAGGCGAGGCCGGGAGGCGUAGCCGACGCGCAGCAGGCAGACAUUCCUGCACCGCGCACGCGGCGCUACGACCGACGGGGCGACGGAUGGGGGUGGCUCGGCGGGGUUCUGGACGUCCCCGUGAUGGAGCGCGGCCCGCGGACCAGGGAAAUCCGGUCCGCACGAAGGGCGAGGCUCCGGACGAAGCGAUUGAGCGAAGCGAGUGAGCCCGAGGUCCCUAGAAAAACCCCUAGGCAGGCGCGUGCGCGCCCGUACCGCAAACCGACACAGGUGGGUGGGUAGAACAUACCGAGGCGAUCGGGUCAACCAUGGUCAAGGAACUCGGCACAAUGGCCCCGUAACUUCGGGAGAAGGGGUGCCCGCGCGUACGUGAACCGGCUUGCCCGGGGAGCGGAGGCGGGCCGCAGUGGAGAGGCCCAAGCGACUGUUUACCAAAAACACAGGACUCUGCAGAAGCCGCAAGGCGACGUAUAGGGUCUGACGCCUGCCCGGUGCCGGAAGGUCACGCGGAGGAGUUAGCCGUUAAGGCGAAGCCCCGAAGCCAAGCCCCGGUAAACGGCGGCCGUAACUAUAACGGUCCUAAGGUAGCGAAAUUCCUUGUCGGGUAAGUUCCGACCUGCACGAAAGGCGCAACGACUUGGGCGCUGUCUCGACCAUGGACCCGGUGAAAUUGCACUGGUCGUGAAGAUGCGACUUACCCGCGGAAGGACGGAAAGACCCCGUGAACCUUCACUGCAGCUUGGCAUUGGCCGCUGGUCCCGCGUGUAGAGGAUAGGCAGGAGGCAUCGAUCCGGAGGCGCCAGCCCCCGGGGAGCCGCCCUUGGAAUACUGCCCUCGCGCGACCGGCGUCCUAACCCGAGGCCGUCAACCGGCUCGGGGACCGUGCCAGGCGGGCAGUUUGACUGGGGCGGUCGCCUCCUAAAGGGUAACGGAGGCGCGCGAAGGUCCGCUCGGGACGGUCGGCAACCGUCCUUUUGAAUGCAAGAGUACAAGCGGGCUUGACUGCGAGGCCCACAAGCCGAGCAGGUGCGAAAGCAGGCUCUAGUGAUCCGGCGGCCCCGAGUGGGUGGGCCGUCGCUCAACGGAUAAAAGGUACUCCGGGGAUAACAGGCUGAUCUUGCCCAAGAGUCCACAUCGACGGCAAGGUUUGGCACCUCGAUGUCGGCUCAUCGCAUCCUGGGGCUGUAGCAGGUCCCAAGGGUUGGGCUGUUCGCCCAUUAAAGCGGUACGCGAGCUGGGUUCAGAACGUCGUGAGACAGUUCGGUCCCUAUCCUCCGUGGGCGCAGGAGAAUCGAUGGAGGCUGCCCCCAGUACGAGAGGACCGGGGUGGACGCACCUCCGGUGAACCGGUUGUCGACCAACGGCACGGCCGGGUAGCCGCGUGCGGCGCGGAUAACCGCUGAAGGCAUCUAAGCGGGAAGCCGUUCCAGGGAUUAGUUCUCCUUCCGGUAAGGGCCCAGGUAGACUACCUGGUCGAUAGACGGCAGGUGCAAGGACGGCGACGUCCUCAGCCGAGCCGCACUAAUCGCCCGAGCUCUUCCGGA